rnacentral:rRNA from 1 species
UGAGUAACACGUGGGUGAUCUGCCCUGCACUUUGGGAUAAGCCUGGGAAACUGGGUCUAAUACCGAAUAGGACCGCGCUCUUCAUGGGGUGUGGUGGAAAGCUUUUGCGGUGUGGGAUGGGCCCGCGGCCUAUCAGCUUGUUGGUGGGGUAAUGGCCUACCAAGGCGACGACGGGUAGCCGGCCUGAGAGGGUGACCGGCCACACUGGGACUGAGAUACGGCCCAGACUCCUACGGGAGGCAGCAGUGGGGAAUAUUGCACAAUGGGCGCAAGCCUGAUGCAGCGACGCCGCGUGAGGGAUGACGGCCUUCGGGUUGUAAACCUCUUUCAAUAGGGACGAAGCGCAAGUGACGGUACCUAUAGAAGAAGGACCGGCCAACUACGUGCCAGCAGCCGCGGUAAUACGUAGGGUCCGAGCGUUGUCCGGAAUUACUGGGCGUAAAGAGCUCGUAGGUGGUUUGUCGCGUUGUUCGUGAAAACUCACAGCUUAACUGUGGGCGUGCGGGCGAUACGGGCAGACUAGAGUACUGCAGGGGAGACUGGAAUUCCUGGUGUAGCGGUGGAAUGCGCAGAUAUCAGGAGGAACACCGGUGGCGAAGGCGGGUCUCUGGGCAGUAACUGACGCUGAGGAGCGAAAGCGUGGGGAGCGAACAGGAUUAGAUACCCUGGUAGUCCACGCCGUAAACGGUGGGUACUAGGUGUGGGUUUCCUUCCUUGGGAUCCGUGCCGUAGCUAACGCAUUAAGUACCCCGCCUGGGGGAGUACGGGCCGCAAGGCUAAAACUCAAAAGGAAUUGACGGGGGGCCCGCACAA